rnacentral:rRNA from 1 species
GACGAACGCUGGCGGCGUGCUUAACACAUGCAAGUCGAACGGUAAGGCCCUUCGGGGUACACGAGUGGCGAACGGGUGAGUAACACGUGGGUGAUCUGCCCUGCACUUCGGGAUAAGCCUGGGAAACUGGGUCUAAUACCGGAUAGGACUCCGGACUGCAUGGUCUGGGGUGGAAGGCUUUUGCGGUGUGGGAUGGGCCCGCGGCCUAUCAGCUUGUUGGUGGGGUGAUGGCCUACCAAGGCGACGACGGGUAGCCGGCCUGAGAGGGUGACCGGCCACACUGGGACUGAGAUACGGCCCAGACUCCUACGGGAGGCAGCAGUGGGGAAUAUUGCACAAUGGGCGCAAGCCUGAUGCAGCGACGCCGCGUGAGGGAUGACGGCCUUCGGGUUGUAAACCUCUUUCAGCAUCGACGAAGCGAAAGUGACGGUAGGUGCAGAAGAAGGACCGGCCAACUACGUGCCAGUAGCCGCAGUAA